rnacentral:rRNA from 1 species
CACGUAGGGGGCGAGCGUUGUCCGGAUUUAUUGGGCGUAAAGAGCUCGUAGGCGGUUUCGUAAGUCGGAUGUGAAAACUCCAGGCUCAACUUGGAGACGCCAUUCGAUACUGCGAUGACUUGAGUCCGGUAGGGGAGUGUGGAAUUCCUGGUGUAGCGGUGAAAUGCGCAGAUAUCAGGAGGAACACCGGCGGCGAAGGCGGCACUCUGGGCCGGUACUGACGCUGAGGGGCGAAAGCGUGGGUAGCAAACAGG